CGUGGACAAAAGGCUGCCUCGGAGCCUGAACUGGGGCCUCUGGGGGAGCCGGCGGGGGCCACACCCUCUCCUGGGCUCGGCACCAGGGGAAGGCUCCAGACGGCUCGGGCUUUGCGCCAGGCUGCUCGGUUCCAGUGGGAAAGCUGACCUUGGCCAGGAAGAACCAGGAAGAGGCACAGAUGACUCAUUGUCCCACAUCCUCCAAGAAGGAAGCUAAACUCAGGGAGGAGCAGGGACACACAGAAGCGGUCCACAGCCCGGGGUUGAGGCGGUGCAGUAUCAGGUUCUCCAAAUGUCAAGGCAAACCUUGACUUCACUUGGAACCGGUCUUCAUUCUUCCAGAAGCACAGCUAGAGAAGGAAGGGGGCAGUACAAAGGCCGCUGCUUCCUUUGUCCACGUGGGCAUCUUCUUGGUUGUCGGAGCUCCUGUGGUUCUGGGCGGAGCCAGAAGGGGGCGCCCUUCCUUCAGGGUAUGCCAGGUCAAUCUGGGUAAACCAGGUGCCCGAGACCACAGCUUGCUCCAGGCUGCUCCAGGCAGGCAGACAUCUGUCCAUUCCUCCUGGGGCCCAUCCCCCCUGCUGACCUUGGCCUCCUCUCUGCACACCCAAAGGUACAAACGACAAGGCAAUCCGUAGAAGCCUCUGUCCAGGGUUUUGCCGUGCAGCCUUCUUGUUCACUAAUUCCUGGCUAAAUUUGAAAGUAGCCCUGAGGCUCUCAAGAAGCAAGGUGACCACGGUGACUCCCGAAGAGUGCCCCUGUGGCCUACGGCCUAGGGAUGUGGAGAAAAUGGGAGAGCAAAGAGCCAAGGAGGGCUCUGGGGGGUGGUUCCCAAAGAGGUGCUCGGCAGAUCAGCUUUUCCUUGAGCCCUUUCUGAACUUCUUUCCGGGAGCACGUAUGAGUUUAUAACUAAACACACAGGUGCACAUGUGUGAACACACACACACAUACAUGAAUACAUCUUUAAAACCCAGCUCCUUAGGUUCUCAUUUGUUGUUAUUGUUUGCUAAGUCAUGCUCAACUCUGCUAAAUCAUGCCUGACUCUUGCAACCUCACUGGCUGUAGCCUGCCAGGCCCCUCUGUCCAAGGGAUCUUCCGGGCAAGAACACUGGACUGGCUAACCAUUUCCUUCUCCAGGGGAUCUUCUCAACCCAGGGAGCGAACCUGUGUCUCUUGCAUUGGCAGACAGAUUCUUUACCACUGUACUACCAGGGAAGUCCAUGGUGUGGGGCUUCCUGG
ensembl:lncRNA